GCCUCGAGCCGUCCAGGGAGUUGCUACAUCACCGAACUGCGCCUGGAAGACCCCAGGAGCCCCUUCUUAAUGUUGGACCACCCUGUCCGAGCUGCGCUUAUUGUUGGGACACCACUGCCCUCUCCCGGAGGUAAACGCAGGUAGAAUUAGCUGAGUCCUGAGACUCGGUCUGCUUACACCCCGCCACCGGGGAGACAGUCCCACAAGCUCUGGCAGAAAGAGUUCGCGGAAAAGGCUACUCGAACCACCGAAACUAAUGGGAAAUGUAAUCCACGGUUUAAAAAAAAAAAAAAAAAAAAAAGGCAGACGACCCGCCAAAAUCGGUUGGUCCUGGCGGGUUCAGAGCCCGGCGUGGCGGAGCCCAGGGGCCCUCUGGGAACGCUAACCCGCCUCAGGAGUGCGCAGGCGCAGAACUUCUGGCUCGCCAUCGUCGUCUUUGUCUGCUGCACUCAUAGCACUGUCAAGCCAGGUUUUAAGGCUCUCACCAUCUGAGUAGGAGAAAAGCCCCUGAGCCAGAUAUUUCAUGAAUCUCCAGGAGCUGCAUUCUCUUUAUCUUUGAAAACCUUUGAGGAUUUUAAGAACUCAGCUUGAAUUCUAGCAUGCUGCUUUGACUCCCAACCAUAAUCGCAGAUUCUGUGUCACUUUGUCUCUUUACAAGUUUAAAGUCACCAGUUAAAACAAAAAGAUCAAUGGAUAAUCAAGAAGAAAUAUAAAGAGUUCUCUAGAAUAAACCUGAGAAGUUUAUAAACAAAUAAAGAUACAACGUGAAAGACUUGAGAGUAAAGUCUCAUUGUUCUCUGUGAAAAUAUAGACUGAGGAAACAAAAUAGUAUUUCCUUGGAGCACAGCAUUGAUUCUUCAAGACUACACUUCUGUGUAUGGGACUCAGUUUAAGAAUUUGAAACAUAAUUUAUGCUUAAAUAUGCAAGAAGCAGUAUAAGAAAGAACCA